GAGCCGUUAGCUCAGUAGGUAGAGCACCUGACUUUUAAUCAGGUGGUCGGGAGUUCGAGCCUCCCACGGCUCA
rnacentral:tRNA from 1 species